UGUUCCUACGGGAGGCAGCAGUCGGGAAUAUUGCGCAAUGGAGGAAACUCUGACGCAGUGACGCCGCGUAUAGGAAGAAGGUUUUCGGAUUGUAAACUAUUGUCGUUAGGGAAGAUAAAAGACUGUACCUAAGGAGGAAGCCCCGGCUAACUAUGUGCCAGCAGCCGCGGUAAUACAUAGGGGGCAAGCGUUAUCCGGAAUUAUUGGGUGUAAAGGGCGUGCAGCCGGAGAGACAAGUCAGAUGUGAAAUCCACGGGCUCAACCCGUGAACUGCAUUUGAAACUGUUUCCCUUGAGUGUCGGAGG
rnacentral:rRNA from 1 species